UACUUACUGAGACCUCUGGGCUUAGGUUCCGCGAGCGCCGCCGCGGAGGCUCACCAGGAUGCGACCCGGAAAUACUAGUUCAGCAGCUCCGUGUCCGAGCUACGGAACGGCAGAAAGGCCAAAGUGUCUGCUCUGUUCGGGAUCUCGCGAGACUUUAGAUGGGAGUCACAGGGUGGCACUGAAGUCAGGACUCAGAGUCCCCGCAGCUCUCCUGGCGCCCUCCCAGUCUGAGGAUCCUCCUGUGGAAGGACUACUCUGUCCGAGUCCCCAUUUCACAGCUGGGGAAAUUGAAGCCCUCUGUGUUCCAGGAACAUUAUAAGGAAGGUCUUGUGGCUCCGGAGCUCUCCACACCACCCAGAAACAGUUUGAGAGAGAGAGGAGGAGAGCUCUGCCUGGCAGCUCAGUAGGGUUGCCAGAGGAUGG